rfam:TPA: Bos taurus chromosome 16, whole genome shotgun sequence.
UCCCUGGUGACUCAGCAGUAAAGAAUCUGCCUGCAAUGCAGGAGACCCAGGUUUGAUCCCAGGCUUGGGAA